rnacentral:rRNA from 1 species
GACGAACGCUGGCGGCGUGCCUGACACAUGCAAGUCGGACGGUUCUUGUACCUUCAAGCUUGCUUGUUGGUGCAAGGAUAGUGGCGGACGGGUGAGUAACGCGUGAACAUCUACCCAUUGGAGGGGGACAACCCGUCGAAAGGCGGGCUAAUACCGCGUAAGCCGCGAGGUGAGAGGCUGCCUAUUGGUGGCCGCCGAUGGAUGGGUUCGCGUCCUAUCAGCUGGUUGGUGGGGUAACGGCCUACCAAGGCGAAGACGGGUAGCCGGUCUGAGAGGAUGGCCGGCCACACUGGAACUGAGACACGGUCCAGACUCCUACGGGAGGCAGCAGUGGGGGAUAUUGCGCAAUGGGGGAAACCCUGACGCAGCAACGCCGCGUGGAGGAAGAAGGUCUUCGGAUUGUAAACUCCUGUCUUCUGGGACGAAUAAUGACGGUACCAGAGGAGGAAGCCACGGCUAACUACGUG